GGGCCUGGGCACCAGAGGCCACGACAGGCGGCCACCGCCCCAGGCCACUAAGGACCCUGAACCUGGAGGUCAGAGUCAGGACGUGAGGGUCAGGGAACACGCACUUGCAUCCCCGCCCCCUGUUCACGGCCGUGUGGCCUGGAGCCCCGUCACCAGCUCCCUCCCUGGACGGGGGACAGGCCUCACGCAGGGAUCACUGUGCAUCUGGGCUCCUUGAUCCGAAGCACCCAGACCCGGGCCCGCCCUCAGUGGCGCAUCGCUCUCCUGGGGAAAACAGGCAAAAAUAAACAGACUGAAAAGGAAGUAGGCGCAAACCCAGUGCGGGGCGGCGGGAGGUGAUGAAUCUCGCCUCUCCCGGUCUGGAGUUAAUGAGGAGCCUGAGUCAGGAGGCAGAUGGGACCGACCCAUCCGCUGUGCUGCUGGAAAUGAGAAGCUGCUGGAGACGUUCUGACUCAGAACCAGAUGGCCCCUGCUCCAUCCCCUGCAUUCAAGAUGGAAGUGAAGGACCUUGAGAUGAGACGCCCUGGAUGCAGGUGAGACUCAGCACCAGUGAUAAGUGUCCUUGUGGAAAGAGGGAAGGCCCCAUGAAAGCAGAGUCAGGGACGGCAGCUACAGGCGGCUCUGAGCCCCCGUUCCCAGCGGUUUGUUGCAGCAGCUUCGGAUGCUCCAUGGAUACCAAGGCACGCGAGGGAAGCAAACCUACCAGCACAGUCGAACUUGCCUCGGCGCCAACACAGCUUAACCUUCAGGGCCCCUCACUUGCGAAGACCCCCUUCUGCAGCCCAGUUCCUGUUUGCGUAUUCCUUUUGUCAAAGGGGCCCCCUCCGCAGAUGGGGAAAGUAUUGGGUCCCACACACUCUGGCUCCCUCCCUGUUGCCACCAGGGUACAGCACACAGCCUGCAGUAUAGACGCUUCCGUGGGUUUUCUGUCAUCUGAACAUCCACCCAGCCAGUCCUCCGUGUCUUCAGCCAAGCUGGAUUAUCGAGUCCCUGCUGUCUCGGGAUGUAACUUGGAAAGAGAACCAGAGACAAUUUGGAGGCAAAGUAAAUGGGCUGCAGCAAGAUGCGCAUGAAGAAAGAGAGAGGCUGAAAGGGGAACCUGAGCAGAGAGUGGUUGUUCUACCUGGAAAUCAUGACAGCCCCACCAAGGAGAUAACCUCCAGUCUGGGCUUUUAAGGAUGGGUAGGAGUUCGCCAGGAGACAAGGGGGAGGACAGCUUAGGUCGGGGGCACUGUGCGGGCAAAGGUGUGGGACAGCCCCUGGCCCUGGGGCAGCAGUGUGCGACAGCCUGCCUGGCCCAUGGGGCCUGCAGGAUGAAGAGAGAGGGAAGGGCCGGGGCUGGGCCUGGAGUCCUGGGGCAGGGAGAAGUAACAGGUGUGAGGUCCGCAAACGUGGCAGCUUAAUAUGAGAAGAAUCUCCUUCCUCUGAAGGCUGGGGCAGGGCGUGGGGGUGAGGUGUUUCCAGGCCCCUUCCAGCUGCUGGCUGUUGUGGCAGUUCCAUUGUCCAGCCCCUUGCAGCUGCACCCUCCAGUCUCUGCCUCCCUCAUUACAGGACCUUCUCCCUGUGUCUCUCUGGGUCCCUUCGCCUUUUUUUUUUUUUCCAGCUGCACCCACAUCAGGCAGAAGUUCCCAAGCCAGGGGUCGAAUGCGCUCCACAUCUGUAAGUAACCAGAGCCACUGCAGUGACAACGCCAGAUCCUUAACCCACUGAGCCACCAGGGAACUCCCCUUCUCCUCUUCUUAUGAGGACACCAGCCAUAGUAGAGACGUUACUAAUCAGGUAAUUCAAUUACAUCUGCAAGGACACCAGAGUAUUUCCAAGUAAGGUCACGUACACAGGGGCCUGGGCUCAGGGCUUCAAUGACCUUUCUGGGGACACAGUUCAACCCACAACAGGGAGGAGGAACCACAGGACUUGGUACUGAUUAGAUGGACCUUAUGGCCUGAAUGGUCUACACGGCCUCCCUCCCACGGCACAUGUUGAAAUCCUGAUAGCCUUGUGACCGCAUCGGAGACAGGGCCUUUAGGAGGUGAGGACCGCGGCUGUCUGCAAGCCAGGAAGAGAGCUCUCAGCAGAAACCUCGUGCUGCCAAAACCUUGAUGUUCCAGCCUCCAGAACCAUGAGAAGAAAGUUUCUGUCCUUAAGCCCCCAGUGUGCGGCAUUUUAUCACGGCAGGCUGAGCUAAGACAAUGGGGUUGGGGCUGGAUGAGCAGGCAGCAGAGCGGAACUGAGGAGGAAUUCCCCAGGCUUGGAGGAAGCUCUGACCCACAGGUGCUGGGUCCCGAUGGCCCGGCCAGGAGCUGAGGUUUUAGGGAGGAACUGGACUCGGCCCAAGGCUUCCAGGAGCUGCAGGUCAGGCAGGGAGUCAGGAAGGGGCCCAGGCCUGCCAGGUACAAUGAUGCAGGUGGUGGCUCAGGGACAAGGGGCCAGGACAAUCGAAGCGGCCCCAAGGGGCAGGGAGGCCCCAGGAAGGGGCCAUCAGAACAGUCAAGAACCCGGUCGUUGGCACUUCCUCCGGCCUAACUACUCAGCGUUGUCUCUGCAGCAGCUCUGGAUCAGUCCCUGGCCUUGGAACUUCCACAUGUCGAGGGUGCAGCCAAACACUUUAAAAAAAGAACUCUUGCCUGCUCUGACUGAUGGCUCCCAGGCCAGGGAUCAGAUACGAGCUGCAGCUGCAACCUGCGCUGCAGCUGCAGCAACGCUGGAUCCUUCAACCCACCAUUCAUUCUUAUGCCGCUUAAAUGUCACCUCCACUACGUGCAGAAGCUCGAUGGACUUGAGCACGUAGAUCGGGCAACAUUUGGGGGGUUUGGCCUCACAGAUGGUCGGCUCUCUGGGUUGGCAAGUUCCUGCCUGGCUUCCUUUGCUGUUGUCACGGAGUUGCCGUUGCCAUGGCGUCUGUGUGUGCACGGGGGACCAUCGCGCAUCUCCUCAGCUUCGGGAGCACGCAUCCAGAGCCUGGGAAGACUGCGGAGAGAGAAGAAGGAGGCGUGGCGUGUGGGAGGGAGUCCACCUGGGCGCCUAGUGUUGACGGAGCCGAGAAAAGAGGGGUGGUACUGUGCCGCCCCUGAACCAGAAGAGAGGGAUGGAGGCAGAGGUGCCUGCAGGGCCUGCCGGGCCCUCAGCUGUAGAGGCCCGGGGAGGGGGGGUCAACCGAGGGUCUUCUAUCUGGCCUUCUGCUGCCCCUCCUUCGCAACCACUUCCUGCCACUGUCCCAAAGUCACGGCAAAUGCAGCCCAGGAGUGAAAUACUGCCGAUUUAACCUGUGCCUCUGAUAAAUAAAUGAACAAGUGU
rnacentral:lncRNA from 1 species